GAAGAAGACUGCAGCAGAGGUCGGGAGUGGAUACCGGAGGCACCAGGGGAAGUGGUGGGAGAAGCAGACACAAUAAAGACACUUAUGGAAUUCAAGCACAUGGGACUGUUUUGUUAAACUCUUCUGGCAACUUACCACUAGAAAUGAACAGACAGACACCCACUAGAUGAUUCAAGCUACGUUCCAACCACAGCAGACAAACACCUUUGUGAUUCGGAUGCAUGUCUGUGAGCAUGUUGCUUGGAAUCAGAAGUCCUGAGAUGAAAAGCAUGAGCAAGUCUGACUUUCAUUGGGGGGAAUGAUGUCAUAAAGCCAUGAAACAUCUGUAGGACAUGGAUCACAGUCUGACCUUUCUUUGUCUACCACUUCUACAGG